rnacentral:rRNA from 2 species
CGGAGCUUGCUCCACCGGAAAAAGAAGAGUGGCGAACGGGUGAGUAACACGUGGGUAACCUGCCCAUCAGAAGGGGAUAACACUUGGAAACAGGUGCUAAUACCGUAUAACAAUCGAAACCGCAUGGUUUUGAUUUGAAAGGCGCUUUCGGGUGUCGCUGAUGGAUGGACCCGCGGUGCAUUAGCUAGUUGGUGAGGUAACGGCUCACCAAGGCCACGAUGCAUAGCCGACCUGAGAGGGUGAUCGGCCACAUUGGGACUGAGACACGGCCCAAACUCCUACGGGAGGCAGCAGUAGGGAAUCUUCGGCAAUGGACGAAAGUCUGACCGAGCAACGCCGCGUGAGUGAAGAAGGUUUUCGGAUCGUAAAACUCUGUUGUUAGAGAAGAACAAGGAUGAGAGUAACUGUUCAUCCCUUGACGGUAUCUAACCAGAAAGCCACGGCUAACUACGUGCCAGCAGCCGCGGUAAUACGUAGGUGGCAAGCGUUGUCCGGAUUUAUUGGGCGUAAAGCGAGCGCAGGCGGUUUCUUAAGUCUGAUGUGAAAGCCCCCGGCUCAACCGGGGAGGGUCAUUGGAAACUGGGAGACUUGAGUGCAGAAGAGGAGAGUGGAAUUCCAUGUGUAGCGGUGAAAUGCGUAGAUAUAUGGAGGAACACCAGUGGCGAAGGCGGCUCUCUGGUCUGUAACUGACGCUGAGGCUCGAAAGCGUGGGGAGCAAACAGGAUUAGAUACCCUGGUAGUCCACGCCGUAAACGAUGAGUGCUAAGUGUUGGAGGGUUUCCGCCCUUCAGUGCUGCAGCUAACGCAUUAAGCACUCCGCCUGGGGAGUACGACCGCAAGGUUGAAACUCAAAGGAAUUGACGGGGGCCCGCACAAGCGGUGGAGCAUGUGGUUUAAUUCGAAGCAACGCGAAGAACCUUACCAGGUCUUGACAUCCUUUGACCACUCUAGAGAUAGAGCUUCCCCUUCGGGGGCAAAGUGACAGGUGGUGCAUGGUUGUCGUCAGCUCGUGUCGUGAGAUGUUGGGUUAAGUCCCGCAACGAGCGCAACCCUUAUUGUUAGUUGCCAUCAUUUAGUUGGGCACUCUAGCAAGACUGCCGGUGACAAACCGGAGGAAGGUGGGGAUGACGUCAAAUCAUCAUGCCCCUUAUGACCUGGGCUACACACGUGCUACAAUGGGAAGUACAACGAGUCGCGAAGUCGCGAGGCUAAGCUAAUCUCUUAAAGCUUCUCUCAGUUCGGAUUGUAGGCUGCAACUCGCCUACAUGAAGCCGGAAUCGCUAGUAAUCGCGGAUCAGCACGCCGCGGUGAAUACGUUCCCGGGCCUUGUACACACCGCCCGUCACACCACGAGAGUUUGUAACACCCGAAGUCGGUGAGGUAACCU